UACGUAGGGUGCGAGCGUUAAUCGGAAUUACUGGGCGUAAAGCGUGCGCAGGCGGUUAUGCAAGACAGAUGUGAAAUCCCCGGGCUCAACCUGGGAACUGCAUUUGUGACUGCAUAGCUAGAGUACGGUAGAGGGGGAUGGAAUUCCGCGUGUAGCAGUGAAAUGCGUAGAUAUGCGGAGGAACACCGAUGGCGAAGGCAAUCCCCUGGACCUGUACUGACGCUCAUGCACGAAAGCGUGGGGAGUAAACAGG
rnacentral:rRNA from 1 species